GUGGAGACUGUGCCAACUUGUAGCCAUACAUGAUGCACUAUAUAUAUAUAUAUAUAUAUAUAUAUAUAUACACACAAUUGCUUUGAAACAU